UACGGAGGGUGCAAGCGUUGUCCGGAUUUAUUGGGUUUAAAGGGUGCGUAGGCGGUUCUUUAAGUCAGCGGUGAAAGUCCAGAGCUCAACUCUGGGAUUGCCAUUGAUACUGAAGAACUUGAGUAUAGUUGAGGUAGGCGGAAUUGACAGUGUAGCGGUGAAAUGCAUAGAUAUUGUCAAGAACACCGAUUGCGUAGGCAGCUUACUAAACUAUAACUGACGCUGAGGCACGAAAGUGUGGGGAUCAAACAGGAUUAGAUACCCUGGUAGUCCACACUGUAAACGAUGAUUACUCGCUGUUGGCGAUACACAGUCAGCGGCUUAGCGAAAGCGUUAAGUAAUCCACCUGGGGAGUACGCUCGCAAGAGUGAA
rnacentral:rRNA from 1 species